CCAAUAGCGUAUAUUAAAGUUGUUGCAGUUAAAAAGCUCGUAGUUGAAUUUCGGGAUUGACGUGAUGGUCAUGCCUUAAGGGGUAUGAACUGUUGCAGUUGAUUUCUCACCUUCUGGAGAAACUUGAUGUCCUUUAUUGGGUGUCUUGCGGAUCCAGGACCUUUACCUUGAAAAAAUUAGAGUGUUUAAAGCAGGCAUUUUUGCUCGAAUACAUUAGCAUGGAAUAAUAGAAUAGGACGGCAUGGUUCUAUUUUGUUGGUUUCUAGGAUCACCGUAAUGAUUAAUAGGGAUAGUUGGGGGCAUUAGUAUUCAAUUGUCAGAGGUGAAAUUCUUGGAUUUAUUGAAGACUAACUACUGCGAAAGCAUUUGCCAAGGAUGUUUUCAUUAAUCAAGAACGAAAGUUAGGGGAUCGAAGACGAUCAGAUACCGUCGUAGUCUUAACCAUAAACUAUGCCGACUAGGAAUCAGACGAUGUUAAUUUUUUAAUGACUCGUUUGGCACCUUACG
rnacentral:ncRNA from 2 species